rnacentral:lncRNA from 10 species
CUCGGGCCGCGCAGGAGCCCACGGCGGGGGCGAGGCUCAGGCAUGGCGGGCUGCAGGUCCCGAGCCGUACCCCGCGGGGAGGCAGCUAAGGCCCGGCGAGAAGUCGAGCACAGCAGCUGCUGGACCGGGUGCUAAGCCCCUCACUGCCCCGGGCGCGGGGCCGGCUGGCCGCUCCGAGUGCUGGGCCUGGGAGGCCACGCCCACCCGGAACUUGCCCUAGUCCGCAAGCGCAGCGUGCAGCCUGGGUUCCCGCCCGCGCCUCUCCCGCCACACCUCCCUGCAAGCUGAGGGAGCCGGCUCCUGCCUUGGCCAGGCUAGAAAGGGGCUCCCACAGUGCAGGGGCGGGCUGAAGGGCUCCUCAAGUGCCACCAAAGUGGGAGCCCAGGCAGAGGAGGUGCCGAGAGCGAGCGAGGGCUGCGAGGACUGCCAGCAGCUGUCACCUCUCGUUACCAUCACUCCUAGUGACCAUUUCGGAUAAUCCACCUUGCCUCAUCAAACCAGAAAACAAUUCAAACCUGGCCUCCUUCUAACUGGAAGCCACAUUUUAAGAACUUAUUGUGAAGAACUGGAAAGCCUCCAAUAGAACAGAAGCUAAAAGCAGAAAUUAUAAAAGCUGUUACACCUACUCAGCUCUAUUACAUGUUGGAAAAACUGAACCAGAGAAACAAUUACAUACACUCUUGUCUUCUGGAAAAGCUGAAUUGGGUUUUGGUCUGAAUCAAUAGGACCCAUUAUACAGGCUGCCUUUCCAGCUCUCCAAUCAUACUUCCAAGAAAACUGCUCACUCUCAGAACCAAGGUUCAAGUUGUACAUUGGGAUUUGGGUAGAGCACGGGACCUGGCAUGGAGCAGCAUUCAAAAUAUUGGGUAGAAGGAAAAAGGAAGAAAGAAGGGAAGGACAGGGAAGCAAGGAAAUAAAGGAAAUCAGGCUAUAUAUACAGUGAUGCCCAUCUACCCCUGAGAUCUAAAAAUCUAAGAUGAAAACGAGCACACAGUCUUGGCAGCAUUGGGGUAACAGACUAUGAAAGAAGAAAUCAGAUUGGAAAAUUCAGUAUAUCAAUGAAGAAAAUAAUCACUCAAGGAGAGGAAUAAACAGCAAAACAAUCUAUAUAUUUAAUUAUAGAUACAAUUGUUUCAAUGCUGAUUAUUCAUCCUUAUAUAACUGUCUACAGCUAUUUAGGGUUGUCUUCAUCCAUUUUGUGUUGCCAUUGCAGAAUACGUGAAACUGGGUAAUUUGUAAAGAAAAGAGAUUUUUUAACUUAUGGGUUCUGCAGGAUGGGAAGUUCAAGAAACAUGACACCAGCAUCUGCUUGGUUUCUGUUGAGGACUUUCAUGCUUAUAUCACAACAUGGCAGAAGGUUAAAGGGGGAGUAGACAUGUGCAAAUAGGCAAAACCUGAGGGGCAUCUUGGCUUUAUAACAACCCACUCUUGGAGGACUAAUUCAUUCUUGAGAGAACUAAUCUGGUCUUGCCAGAGAAAAAAUUCACUCACUGCCUACUGUGAGAAUAGCACUAAGCCAUCCAUGAGAGUGGAGCCCCAUCACUCAAACACCUCCCAUUAGGCUCUACAGCUUACAGAUUAUACCUCCUAACAUUGCCACAGUGGGAAACAAAUUUCAAGAUGAGAUUUGGUGGGGACAGACCAUAUCUAAACAAAGAGUAAACAAGGGUAAACAACUUUUGAGAACAUACUUGUGAUCCUUUAUUUCAACCCAGAAUGAUGCCAGAAUUUUGGAGAUGGGGCUCAGAGCAAAUCAGUAAGUUACAAUUCUCAAGUUUCACAGGGAAGUGGGAGUGAGAGACACAUCAUGGAGGACCACGCGACUCUCAGUUACACUGGGUGAAUUGUCUUCAUUGAAUUCCCGCACCAUGCAGACUCAUUUAACGGUAGUUCUUCCAAAGCUGCUUUUCUGCUUUGCUUUUGGAAUACUACUUUAUCUAAAUUUUCAUCUACCCUUUCAAUUCCUAUGCUUCUUGUGUUGAUUUCUCUUUUCCGACUUCUCAGAUUUUUAAUCUCAUUUUUAAACAUGAGAAUUCUCUGAGGUCUAUUUCUUGACCCUUUGUCCUCUUUUUAACUAUCCCUUGGGAAACUUGCACAAUCUAAAUGACUAACUAGAACUUAUGAGAUUAUGAGCCAGAUCUCUCCCUGCUUAUGAGCCCAUUUCAAUUAGAUGUCUCAGCAUCAUUGUAAGUUAAAAUGCAUAAAAUCCAAAACAAUAAAUUUUUCUCAAACCAAUGUUAUAUCUGAAAUGGUUAUUUCAAUGACUUUAAUGACUUUCAAUAACUUCAAUGACCUUAGCUUCUUUCUGUUCUUUCCACAAGCUAGUGCUUUAAUUUUUUAAGAAUAAACUUAACAGAUGAAAUGAUAAAGACAUAAUUUUUAUGUUGUGUUAUACUCUUGAUGGAAAUAUUUCCAAAUCUUUUGAAUGAAGAGCUUUGAAGAAAAACCUG